UACAGAGGUCUCAAGCGUUGUUCGGAUUCAUUGGGCGUAAAGGGGGCGUAGGCGGCGCGGUAAGUCGGGUGUGAAAUCUCGGAGCUUAACUCCGAAACUGCAUUCGAUACUGCCGUGCUUGAGGACUGGAGAGGAGACUGGAAUUUACGGUGUAGCGGUGAAAUGCGUAGAUAUCGUAAGGAAGACCAGUGGCGAAGGCGGGUCUCUGGACAGUUCCUGACGCUGAGGCACGAAGGCCAGGGGAGCAAACGGG
rnacentral:rRNA from 1 species